UACAGAGGUCUCAAGCGUUGUUCGGAUUCAUUGGGCGUAAAGGGUGUGUAGGUGGCGCCGUAAGUGGGGUGUGAAAUCUCGGGGCUUAACUCCGAAACUGCAUUCCAUACUGCGGUGCUUGAGGACUGGAGAGGAGACUGGAAUUCAUGGUGUAGCAGUGAAAUGCGUAGAGAUCAUGAGGAAGACCAGUGGCGAAGGUGGGUCUCUGGACAGUUCCUGACACUGAGACACGAAGGCCAGGGGAGCAAACGGG
rnacentral:rRNA from 1 species